AGUGAACGCUGGCGGUAGGCCUAACACAUGCAAGUCGAACGGCAGCACAGUAAGAGCUUGCUCUUACGGGUGGCGAGUGGCGGACGGGUGAGGAAUACAUCGGAAUCUACUUUUUCGUGGGGGAUAACGUAGGGAAACUUACGCUAAUACCGCAUACGACCUACGGGUGAAAGCAGGGGAUCUUCGGACCUUGCGCGAUUGAAUGAGCCGAUGUCGGAUUAGCUAGUUGGCGGGGUAAAGGCCCACCAAGGCGACGAUCCGUAGCUGGUCUGAGAGGAUGAUCAGCCACACUGGAACUGAGACACGGUCCAGACUCCUACGGGAGGCAGCAGUGGGGAAUAUUGGACAAUGGGCGAAAGCCUGAUCCAGCCAUACCGCGUGGGUGAAGAAGGCCUUCGGGUUGUAAAGCCCUUUUGUUGGGAAAGAAAAGCGGCAGGUUAAUACCCCGCUGUUCUGACGGUACCCAAAGAAUAAGCACCGGCUAACUUCGUG
rnacentral:rRNA from 1 species